CUCUUUUUUUAAUGCAGUUGUACAUCAACUGAUUGAACCUUACAUGUCCAGAUAACCACAUGGACAUAGAGGUGAUGCAAAGAAGAAAACAACAAAUAUCAGAGCACCAAGGUCCAUGCAGCCUUUUGUGUCAGCAUAUUUCCUCGUCCUCGGCUCUCUGCGCUCCAUGUGGCGCUGGCUCCAGCUCCAUAUACUCCAGGACUCCAGCUAGUUCUCAGACUCCCAAGUCUGGCCCUGUGUGCUCUGCGGCUCCCGAACCCCCACCA